CAUGGAAGGGCUGGAAUUCCUGCCAAAGGAUGCCACAGUUGCACGAGGGCUCAGGAAGAAGCUGAGCCAAGUAACAGAUGAGACGUCACGGGAGCAGAGAAUGGUUUGGGUUGGAAGGGACCUUAAAGGUCAUCUAGGUCCAACCUCUCUGGGAAAUAUCCAUUUUGGAUAAAACACAUCAAGCUCAGGAGAUUUCCAAGCCCUAAAUCAAUGCCAGGUUGAGGAUUGGUCCAGGGUCAACCCUCCACCAGGACUGCUGGAAUCAAUAUUCAAAGGAAGGGAAAUUGGUAGCAGCACAAUAACUGCACUCCAAUUACCUCAUCCACCUUGCUCAGCUUGUUCAG